UCGCCUCCCCAACUUGGAAUGAUUUUGGUCUCUUUUUACAGUCAGCAAGUUGUUUAUAUUUCUGAUUUUGUGCUUCCAAAACACCAUGAAUCUCUUCAAAUAACUCAGUGUAAUUAUCAACAAAGGACAAUGCUGAUUUUGAGUUUUCCCUGAUGGUAGCUUCACCAGGUCCACCACAUGUGUUGGAACUUUAGUGCAGACAAUGAAAAAAGGACUCCUUCCUGUGGAUCUAUGCUUUAUUGUAGGACAGCUCUGCAAGAGAUAAAGCCAAAUCCCAUUGCCCCUUCUUUCUCCACAAAUGCAACCGAUCAGAUUACCCAAAAAUUUGUUCACCACUUAAGUUUGUCCAUCUGUUUGUGGAUGGGCAGUGCUGGAAAUUUUUAAUUAGUGUUGAAUUGCUUCCACGAAGUGAGCGAAAAUGCAGCAAGAAACUUGCUACCACGUUCUGAGGCGAUGGACCUUGGAACUCCAUGAAGUCUGACCACUUCUCGAAAGAAUAGGUUUGCCACAUGAUGAGCAUCCAUUGUCCUGUGACAUCGGAUGAAAUGAGCCAUCUUAGAGGAUCUGUCUACGACCACAAACACAAUAUCACUCCCUCGUCUUGUUCUUGGCAAGCCCAAGAUAAAGUCCAUAGCGAUAUCCUCCCAGCAACAGGAAUAGGCUAAGGCAUGUGUAACCCUGUGUUCUGAACUUUGCCUUCGCAGGUUUGACAUAUGGGGCACCGCUGAAUAAACUUUCCAGCAUCUCUCUUUAGUUGUGGCCAAAAGUAACAAGCCUCCAUGUUAGCGAUAGUCUUGUCGCGUCCAACAUGGCCACUAAGAUAUCACUUGAAUGGAGCUCUCUAACCAGUUUGUCACGUAGAGAACUUCUUGGCAUGCACAAAUGAUCAUUUUUGAAGAGAUAGCCAUCUUGCGCCAAAUAGUCAUCACCUAACGGCUUGUGUGCUUCACCCAAACAUGGCCAAAGUCUUCGUCAUCCUCAAACAACUCCUUUAUUUGAUCCAUGCCUAGAAGUUCAGACUCGAAAGAAAUCAAGAGGCAUGCACGCAGACUCAAAGCAUCUGCCACUCCAUUAGUUGUUCCAGAUUUAUGCACGAUGAGAUAAUUAAACCUCUCCAGAUAUAUUGCCCAUCUUGCUAGCAUGCGAUCAACAUGCUUUUGAUUUCUAAAAUGCUUCAAGGAUUGAUGGUCACUGUAAACAAUGAACUCUUUAGGCAGCAAACAGAGUUCCCAAAUUUUCAAAGCUCUGAAAACGGCAUACAAUUCUUGCUGAUAAGUACUACUCCCUCCGUUCCAAAAUAGAUGACUCAACUUUAUACUAACUUUAGUACAAAGUUGGGUCAUCUAUUUUGGAACGGAGGGAGUACAUUUCUUCAAGUUGAGUAGAGCUCAUUUUCCUUUAGUACUUCUAGCACCUUCCGAAUGUGAUCAAAGUGUUCAUCCUCAUCCUUGCUAUAGAUCAAGAUGUCAAAUAAACCACAACAAAGUGGGAUAAGAAGGGCCAAAGGACUUGGUUCAUCAAUUGCAUAAAGGUACUUGGUGCAUUUGAGAGUCCAAAUGUCAUGACUGGCCAUUCAAACAACCCUUCUUUGUCUUGAAGGCUGUUUUGCAUUCAUCCCUGGGUUUGAUACGAAUUUGGUGAUAUCCGCUUCUUAAAUCUAGCUUUGUGAACACUCUUUCUCCACUAAGCUGAUUCAACAUAUCAUCUAGACGGGGAAUUGGGAAUCUAUACCUUACGGUGAUGCUGUUAAUGGCUCUGCUGUCCAUACACAUGCGCCAAUAUCCAUCUUUUUUGGGCGUGAGCAGGGCUGGUACAACACAUGGGCUAAUACUUUCUCGAAUGUGCCCCUUUUGCAGCAAUUCCUCCACUUUCUCGUUCAAUAUUACCAUGCUCUUUUGGGCUCAUUCGAUAGUGUGGAAUAUUAUUAAGACUUGCUCCCAGAAUUAAGUCAAUUCUAUGUUGAAUUCCUCUCACUGGUGGCAGGCCUUGCGGCUCUCCAAUAUCCACAUCAAAUUGCCAAGGUCUUCCUAGAAGGACAUGACUGGCAUCCAUAUCAACUACAUCAGACAACACAUUUGAGCGAUAAUGCUUGACCAAAGAAAGUGGCAGGUUGCAUUGUUUGGUGAUCCUCAUAUUCACCCAAUAGUGCAGGGGUUUGGAUUCACGAGUCUCAAGCUUUAAAUGGUUCACCAACUUCUGGGAGAUAAGAUUCUCGCAGCUACAACUAUCAAUCACUAAUUUGCAUACCUUGCCAUUCACCGUGCAUUUGCUCUCAAAUAUUUUCUUCCGUUGUGUGUCAUCAGGUUGUGAUGUGGAACAUAGGAGACGCUGAAUCACACAUACCACCUCUCCACCUUCUUCUUGACAGACGUCCUGUCCAUCUAUAUCCUCAGAUUCGUAUUCUUCCUCAUUUCCUUCACCAUCAUGGAUAGUUGUGUUAACAAAUUUCCUCAAUGGCGGACGUCUGUAACUUAACUUUUCACUUUUCAAUGCAAAGAAAUCAAAGCUUUUGCGUUUUCUUGAAAAUUUUUCCUCAAUGGGCAACCGCUGGAUAUGUGUCCCUCUUCACCGCAUUUAUAUCAUUUUGGGCCUUCAUUCGCCUUAACCUUGCCUCUAGUUUGCUUCGGGAUGGGCUGUUCUGCCUUUGGUGGAGCAGUCUUUUCUUCCACUCUAUUAGUGUGACUCCUAGAUGAGCCUUCAACAUGAGGACAUGUAGUCUUAGUUGUCUUUCUUGUCCUCACAAACCUCUCGGCCUUUAAGGCUAGAGCAUGUGCUUGAUCAAUGGACCAGAUUUGUUGCACCAUCAAUCGGUCUUGAAUAGCAUCAUUGAGACCAUCGAUGUACCUUGCAACUUGUAAUCUGCAAUUUCGGUAAGGUUGCACCUCACUUGUAACCUUAGAAACUCCUCCGUGUAAUCUGAAACAGUUCUAUUCCCUUAAAUACAGUUUUGAAAUUGGAUAAAUAGGAUCUGAUCAUAAUCAGCAAGCAAAAUUCUCCCUUUCAAAAGACUCUUCAUUUGCCGGCAAGCUCUCACACGAGGUUCUCCUCUCAGCCUAUGCUCUUCUUGAACGCGGUGCCACGAUGCACUGGCUCCUCCUUUCAGCUUGUACGCGACCAAAGGAACUCUACGAUCUUCCGGAACCUCCAUGACCUCGAAGAAAGUCUCCACUUCAUAUAACCAAUCAAGGCACCCUUCAGUAUCAAUAUUUCCAUUAAAAGUUGGGAUCUCAGCUUUCAGCUUGUAUGUAUCCCUUGCAUAUGUAGGGUUGGGUACUCUCCGAUAUGCAUAGAGAUCAGGUUCUUCAAGGGCAUCAUCAUAUUCUUCACCUUCAGAAGUUUCAACAUAAAUGGCCUUCUUGAAGUACGCUGAAUUGCACAUUGUUGUGGUGAUCUUGCUCCAACAGGCCUCACUCCGCUCGCUCCUCAGAAGUUGGCCUUUCUCUUUAUACUUGAAUUUGGAGCAUAACAUAACACUAUAUAUCACACAUGACUUGGGGUACAAGGAUGAACACAUAGCCGAAUACAGACUCCUAGGCCAAUAGCAAUACUCCUUAACACUCCCCUCAAAUGCAAAGCGGAUGGAAUAGCAUUGCAUUUGAUGAAGUGUAACACUAGAAGAAAAUAAUAAUCCAAAAUCCACGGCUUGAGAGUAUCGUUGUAGCAUGGAGAGUCUUCAAAACCUGUCGAGUCAAGCCAAUAGGAAUACUAAUACACACUACCCUUAAAUGCAAAGCAUAUGCAAUUGCAUUGCAUUUGAAGAAGUGUAACACUAGAAGAAAAUAAUAAUCCAAAAUCCGCGUCUUGAGAGUGUCAUUGUAGCAUGGAGAGUCUUUAAAACCUGUCAAGUCAAGCCAAUAGGAAUAACGAGAAGAUGGCGCAUCAGAGGAAGACACCACAUCAGUAGAAGAUACAAGAUAAGUAUCAAAGAGAAGAUGUGUUGUCAAAAGAAGAUGGCACAUCAAAGGAAUGAAGCAUUGCGCAUAAAA